rnacentral:lncRNA from 1 species
GGGGCAUAAGGGUGGGAUCGGGAGUGGACGACGUGAAGGAGAGCAUGUGGUUGUGGUGGUGCGGGGGAUUGUAGGAGGAGGUGGUGGGGAGCCCCUGGCCCUGAAGCGGGUAAAAGGCCAUGGCCAUGGCCAUGCUGCUGGAGUCGGUGGCGGCCAUGUCCCCGAACAUUUCUCCCUCCCUCCCCUCCCCUCCCCUCUCCUCUCCUCUGAAAUCGAUCGAUUGGAACCCUAACCGCCAACCCCCAUCCCCAUCCCCAUUUGAGAAGGAGAAUCGAAUGUACUGAGCUUUUUCUCCCCUCCCAAGCAGGACCCAACUCGGCCGGCGAGGGUGCGGGUGGGGCUGAGGAGGCGGCCGGCGAGGGUGCGGGUGGGGCUGAGGAUGCAGCGGCGGACGGGAGGUGAGAGACGAUGGGUGC